UCCUUGUUGGCUCAGUGGUAAAGAAUCUGUCUGUCAAUGUAGAGGACCUGGGUUCAAUCCCUGGAUGGGGAA
rnacentral:tRNA from 1 species